GACGAACGCUGGCGGCGUGCUUAACACAUGCAAGUCGAACGGAAAGGCCCUUCGGGGUCCUCGAGUGGCGAACGGGUGAGUAACACGUGGGUGAUCUGCCCUGCACUUUGGGAUAAGCCUGGGAAACUGGGUCUAAUACCGAAUAGGACCACGCGCUUCAUGGUGUGUGGUGGAAAGCUUUUGCGGUGUGGGAUGGGCCCGCGGCCUAUCAGCUUGUUGGUGGGGUAAUGGCCUACCAAGGCGACGACGGGUAGCCGGCCUGAGAGGGUGACCGGCCACACUGGGACUGAGAUACGGCACAGACUCCUACGGGAGGCAGCAGUGGGGAAUAUUGCACAAUGGGCGCAAGCCUGAUGCAGCGACGCCGCGUGAGGGAUGACGGCCUUCGGGUUGUAAACCUCUUUCAAUAGGGACGAAGCGCAAGUGACGGUACCUAUAGAAGAAGCACCGGCCAACUACGUG
rnacentral:rRNA from 1 species